CACAGAACUGGCAACUGACUCUUAAGAUAAAAGUUCUUGGUGGCUUUCCAAGCAGAUGGAAGGGCGCUGAGUGACAUAUCAUUAUACAAGCAAGGCAGCAGAGGCAAGCUACGGUGGCAGUGAUGAGCCUAGGGACAAUUUAUGGAAGAGAAGCUGGUGAUCAGACCUGAGACUGCAUUCUGGAGAAUUCGUUCACCACUGAACAAAUGUUUUGGUUUUUCAGAGAUUCUGUUGACUAUUAGCUGUCCGUUAACAGCUGAACCCCUUCGACUCUCUGAAGAGGGACACAUGGAAGCCAGAAGCCUCCAUCACCCUAGGGCUAUUUGGCCUUCUUCCCUUUUCUCCCUUUCACACCCCUUUUUGAGGGAAUAA
rnacentral:lncRNA from 1 species